rnacentral:tRNA from 1 species
GGACCGUUAGCUCAGUUGGUAGAGCAGAUGACUCUUAAUCAUCGGGUCGCUGGUUCGAGCCCAGCACGGUCCA